CAUCGUUCCCGGUGGGACGGCCGGACUUCAAAUCCGGUUGGGAUCGCCAGCGAUCCCGGGCAGGUUCAACUCCUGUGAUUUUC
rnacentral:tRNA from 1 species